UACGGAGGGUGCGAGCGUUGUUCGGAUUUACUGGGCGUAAAGGGCGCGUAGGCGGUCAGCACAAGUCAGUUGUGAAAUCUCCGGGCUUAACCCGGAAAGGUCAACUGAUACUGUGCGACUAGAGUGCGGAAGGGGCAACUGGAAUUCUCGGUGUAGCGGUGAAAUGCGUAGAUAUCGAGAGGAACACCUGCGGCGAAGGCGGGUUGCUGGGCCGACACUGACGCUGAUGCGCGAAAGCCAGGGGAGCGAACGGG
rnacentral:rRNA from 1 species